rnacentral:snRNA from 1 species
CUCCUUUUUCGCUCGCGUUUAAGUUGAUGCCAUUAAAAUCAGUUGAAUCAAAACCUGGGACGGAAACGAUUCGUUUCCUCUAUGUAUUAAUCGGAUUUUUGAACUUGGAGUAUGGUGCUGGAGCUUGCUCCACCCUGCUCACGGGUUGUCCUGGUAUUGCAGUACCUCCAGGUUCGGCUCACGUUUC